rnacentral:rRNA from 1 species
UACGUAGGGUGCAAGCGUUGUCCCGGAAUUAUUGGCGUAAAGAGCUCGUAGGCGGUCUGUCACGUCGGCUGUGAAUCCCGAGGCUCAACCUCGGUCUGCAGUCGAUACGGCAACUAGAGUAUUGCAGGGAGACUGGAAUUCCUGGUGUAGCGGUGAAAUGCGCAGAUAUCAGGAGGAACACCGAUGGCGAAGGCAGCUCGCUGGGACGGUACUGAACGCUGAGGCGCGAAAGCGUGGGGAGCAAACAGG